UAAUUCUAAUUCACACUGUGGCAGGAAAUAUGACGCACACAGUAUAUGGUUGAAUACAAAGACAGCGUUGGAGCAAAUACCACACAUAUCAUCUCAAUGCAACAGAACCUUCUGGCUGCACAUUUGUUGGAGAGAUGACCAUGGAAACCAAGCUGGUCCGUGUCUGGCUGGUCAGCAGUCUGAUUCACACUAUCUCAGGAUGUUCUCUAUCUGCACCCGGAGGAGUCACUGGGUACACAGGAGGCUCUGUGGUCCUGUCUUGCUUCUGCACUGAUGGAGGGACAAUACUGAGACAUAGCAGAUGGGUUUUUCAACCAGGUCCUUCCGCUAUCGCACUUUGGUCAGGUCGUCGAGUGGACGACCGCUACAAAGACCGGGCGUUGAUUUCUGACUCCCCUGGAAACAUGUUUCUCCGUCUCUCAGAUCUCGCUCUGUCAGAUGGGGGGACAUACCGGUGUGAAGCAGAUGGACAGUUUAAAGACAUCAUCCUCACAGUUAUACAUAGAUUUGAAGAAUUUUGUUUAAAAGUUUAAAUGGGUUGUGUUUAAAUCUUCAAAUGACAACAUUUCUAUCAACUCAUUGCCUACAGCUAACCUAGGUGGGUGGGACAUAUUUGUCCCAAAUAUUAUGGUACCAUAAAAAUGGGGGUAGGGGGGAGGGGCUUUGUAUGCAAAGUGCUGUAAUCUCUACAUUGUGAAACCCAAAUGGUAUGAAAUAAAUCCCCUUUAAUAAAAGCUGAGAAACUGCA